rnacentral:rRNA from 1 species
GAUGAACGCUGGCGGCGUGCCUAAUACAUGCCAGUCGAGCGAACGGACGAGAAGCUUGCUUCACUUAUGUUAGCGGCGGACGGGUGAGUAACACGUGGAUAACCUACCUAUAAGACUUGGAUAACUUCGUGAAACCGUAGCUAAUACCGGAUAAUAUUUUGAACCGCAUGGUUCAAAAGUGAAAGACGGUCUUGCUGUCACUUAUAGAUGGAUCCGCGCUGCAUUAGCUAGUUGGUAAGGUAACGGCUUACCAAGGCAACGAUGCAUAGCCGACCUGAGAGGGUGUUCGGCUCCACUGGAUGAGAGACGCGGAGCAGAUUCCUACGGGAGGCAGGAGUAGGGAAUCUUCAGCCAUGUGAGAAAGAGUGAGGAAGCAACGCCGCCUGAGUGAUGAAGGUCUGCGGAUCGUAAAACUUUGCUAUUAUGGAAGUACAGAUGUGUCAGUAACUGUGCACAUCUUGACGUCCCCUACUCAGUAAGCCACGGCUAACUACGUG